CCUAACACAUGCAAGUCGAACGGACUCUUCGGAGUUAGUGGCGGACGGGUGAGUAACACGUGGGAACGUGCCUUUUAGGUUCGGAAUAGCUCCUGGAAACGGGUGGUAAUGCCGAAUGUGCCCUUCGGGGGAAAGAUUUAUCGCCUUUAGAGCGGCCCGCGUCUGAUUAGCUAGUUGGUGAGGUAAUGGCUCACCAAGGCGACGAUCAGUAGCUGGUCUGAGAGGAUGACCAGCCACAUUGGGACUGAGACACGGCCCAAACUCCUACGGGAGGCAGCAGUGGGGAAUCUUGCGCAAUGGGCGAAAGCCUGACGCAGCCAUGCCGCGUGAAUGAUGAAGGUCUUAGGAUUGUAAAAUUCUUUCACCGGGGACGAUAAUGACGGUACCCGGAGAAGAAGCCCCGGCUAACUUCGUGCCAGCAGCCGCGGUAAUACGAAGGGGGCUAGCGUUGCUCGGAAUUACUGGGCGUAAAGGGCGCGUAGGCGGACAUUUAAGUCAGGGGUGAAAUCCCAGAGCUCAACUCUGGAACUGCCUUUGAUACUGGGUGUCUUGAGUGUGAGAGAGGUAUGUGGAACUCCGAGUGUAGAGGUGAAAUUCGUAGAUAUUCGGAAGAACACCAGUGGCGAAGGCGACAUACUGGCUCAUUACUGACGCUGAGGCGCGAAAGCGUGGGGAGCAAACAGGAUUAGAUACCCUGGUAGUCCACGCCGUAAACGAUGAUUGCUAGUUGUCGGGCUGCAUGCAGUUCGGUGACGCAGCUAACGCAUUAAGCAAUCCGCCUGGGGAGUACGGUCGCAAGAUUAAAACUCAAAGGAAUUGACGG
rnacentral:rRNA from 1 species